GUGCUGAUGAAGAGUCCAAACCAGGACGAAACAACCGGAUGUCCAGUAC
rnacentral:hammerhead_ribozyme from 1 species